AUGAACGCUGGCGGCGUGUUUAAGGCAUGCAAGUUGAGCGAAGUACUCUCGCAAGAGAGCUACUAGCGGCAAACGGGUGAGUAACACACUGGUAACCUACCUCUAAGACGGGGAUAGCUCUCCGAAAGGAGAAUUAAUACCCGAUAGUAACGCGGGGACAUAUGUCAUUCGCGUUUAAAUCUUUUUUGGCUUAGAGAGGGGCCUAUGUCUGAUUAGUUAGUUGGCGGAGUAAAAGCCCACCAAGACUAUGAUCAGUAGCAGGCGUGAGAGCGUGACCUGCCUCACUGGGACUGAGACACUGCCCAGACAUCUACGGAUGGCUGCAGUCAAGAAUAUUCCUCAAUGGACGAAAGUCUGAAGGAGCGACGCCGCGUGCAGGAUGAAGGUUUUCGGAUCGUAAACUGCUUUUAUGUGGGAAGAAUUUGUGACGGUACCACACGAAUAAGAGGUUGCUAACUCUGU
rnacentral:rRNA from 1 species